rnacentral:tRNA from 2 species
GCGCGUUCGAGGUGUUGGAGCACACGCCCGAACCGCUGGCGACGGUUCAGGAAGCGCUCGGACUGCUGAACGGGCG